GUCGUCGACAAGCUGGAAAGAGUGGUGUAGAUGUGGUAUCUGGGUAGCAUCUCGUUCUAUCGAUUUUGUUGCACUAAAUUGUAGUAGAUAAGGGAAUAAUUCUGUGUUACUAGUGGAUAUUAUUUGGGUUGGUGGGUUUUGGCUAAGAUGGGUGUUUGGUGGGCUAUUUGGAAUGUCAGAAUUGAUUUAGGGUUAAGGUGUGGCUCUCUGUAGAAGAGAAUAUAAGUAAAGACGGAAAUCUUUGAUUAGAAUAUGUCCAGAUUGCAUUUGAUAAAUAAAUGGGGUUGUAGGCUAUUCGAGGUUUAGACAUUUGACUUGGUUUUAUGUGAACUGUCGGUAUCGAGUAGGCUAACCUUUUUAAAGGAGAGGAGGCAUUGGAUUACACAGCAUUAAUCGCUGGAUCGUUUUUAUGAAGUUAACGUUUCUAUGAAUGUUGUAAGUAACCAUUUUCUGAAAUUGCUCAUUUAAGCGUUGUUAAAUGGUAUUAUGAUGGGCUAUUGCUUAAAGACUGCAAGUUAACAUGCAAACCACUGACGGACUGAAUAAUUGAGAGUUGACGGAACGAUAUAGGGCGUGUGCGAGCAGUGUAGUCCAGUCGGACGAUCUUCAGCUCAGAAUUCGAGGAUGUCUUUUAGUUGUUUGCACGAUGGAAAACCACAUGAACUGAAAGCUUUUUAUCAAGUUUCUUUUCGCGAAAAAAGGCAAGUCAUUGGAGGAUGUCACAGCAAAUGUUCUCGUGGGAAAACGUCAGUAUUUUCUGGCUGGUUUGCAAGAUAGAAUCAAGCAUCAGGAGCAAGCGAGUCACGGUCGUCCUCUCUGCCAAAGGGUAAGUCUGUCCAGCAGUGUUCUCGUGGCCGGGAGUGAGCAGUGAGUGGACCGCCAUGAUGGACUCACCUGAGGGAGACCGUGCUCACUGGCUGACCCGCAGCAGUUCUUCACUGGCAAGCUUUAUGUUCUUGUGUACCAGCUAAAGCUGCCAGCUGAAGAACUGUUGUGGUUGGCUCUUGCCCUGCACACACUCUCCUCUCAUGGCCUCCUUCCCCACCCCCCUAGCACCAGAACCUCCGAUGCCCCACAGAGAGGAGGAGGAGAGGAUCUCUUGGGCUUGAGGGAGGUAGAGCUGCAGCUGAAGAGUAGCGCUCUCUGCUUGCUCGCUGAGGCUCGAUCAGACCAGACAUCAGACACAACAUAUCUAUCUCUACUACCCACCCACUGCCCCUCUCGCUUUCUCCCCCUACCUCUCUCUACCUCCGUCUAUUCCUCCCCUCCCUCUCUCUCUCUGUCUUCUUCCAUCCCUCCUCCCCUCUGGCCAGCCUGCCUCCCCUCCUCUCCUCACUCUCGCCUGGUCAUCUCUAACUGGCUGAGCAUUUUUGCUCAGGCAUAAACAAAGGCAACUGGGCAGGGCCCGUGCUGACUCAGCCACAUUCCACACCCUGGUCACGUCCCCCCACCCUGUCCUUAUUUGGGUGCGGAGUAGGGCAGGGGGCUGCAUGAUGUUUUUACAAUGCAAACAGGAACCAAUAGCCUCCAUACAUCUGCCUCCAUCUCUCUCUCUCUCUCUCUCUCUCUCUCUCUCUCUCUCUCUCUCUCUCUCUCUCUCUCUCUCUCUCUCUCUCUCUCUCUCUCUCUCUCUCUCUCUCUCUCUCUCUCUCUCUCUCUCUCUCUCCUGCUAUCAUUACUCUCUCCUUUGUGGCUGAUGGCAGAAGAGUAGAUGAUGAGGCCUCUCCCUCUCCCCAUCUCUCCUCACUGUCCCUGGGUCUCUGACUGGGACAUGUGUUUCUGUUUAUUAGUAAAGUCACAGCGUUCUGCCAGAGAGUUGAUGCUGAAAACACUGGCUGGUCAUGGAACCAAGGCUGAUUUUUAUUUUAUUUUAUUUAUUUUUUAUUUUUUGGUAAUUUUCAUUGUUUUGUGUUUUGUUUUGUUUCCUUGCCCCAUGGUCUGAAUGCCCUUGCUGAUUUUGUUGUUGUUGUUGUAGGUUUUUGUUCGGGCUGAAUGUAACCAUAGACACGCACACCACACACACACACACUUUCAUGCCACAGAGGCCAGCCGGACCUCGAUGCGUCGUAAAUCGUACUUCAAGGGCGAAAGCCGCCGCUGAAAACAGGAUAUGAAAAAAUGGCCUGCUGGAAAGUGCCAAGCCAGAUGAACACAAAGGUAGGGAAUGUUCUCUAGAUACCAGAUGCCCACGAGGAGUCCAGUCAAAGAAAGAGACAGACUUUAUUCAUUUAAAGUCCAUUCAGUUUCUGUCAGCAUCACAUAGCAUAGUGUAGCAGUACGGUGUAGUCAAAGAAUUGUUUUUCAAAAUAAAAGAUGCAUAAAAUAUUCAGGAAAUAUAAUUUCUCUUCUCGCUCUUUCACUUUUUCUUCUUUCUUCCUACUCCCUCUCUUGUCUCGCCCUCUACACUCAUGCUAUACCUGCCUAGACUCGUGGACACACGCACACACACACGCACACACACACACCCUGUCUACAGGAUUGCACACCUCUUAGAUCUUCACCCUGUAAGACAUCCUACUUUGCUCAUGUAACAGAGCCGCCACACUCUGACCCCUGUGCAGGGUUUUCCCCGGUCAUGGGCCAAGGUGCCUUACCUGAUCCUCUCUAGGCUGCAGCCAAUCUGGCCCCAAGUACAUUAAAAGAUUGCAGAGGGUCCUCUCGGCUCCGGAUUUGAAGCGACACACCUAAGAAGCCUGUCUUGGUCAGAGGUUCAGAUGGUGUCUGUGGGGCUUAGACCCCAGGUUGCAUUAUUAUUAUUCUUUUCUAGAUUAAAUAUAAUUUCUGCUGUUUGUGUGCAGAGUAAAAUAUGUAUAUUUGUAUUUAUAGUGAAGAUUAGCAUGUGUGAGUGUGUCCUUGGGUGCUCUCAUGGACUAUACCUGCUUACCUGGUGCAGUCUGCCAAGAGGAUCAAGAGGUCAGACAGAUCGGCUUCUCAGAGAUCACAUCCCUUUGUCACACACACACACACACACACACAAACUCACUUGCUCUGUAAUUUGGAAACUGGGUGAAGGGUCACAAGCAGGAAGUCCUUGCUUUGUCGUAUCAAUAGCCAUGUCAGUGACAUAUUUUUGAAUAAUCAGUUCAAUAAACUCCUAAGCAAAUUAA